GUGCUCGCGUCAGUCACUCAUGGGAAUCGCCAUGGGCACCAUGUCUGCGUAUUCAAAACUGUUCGUUUAUUUUGGAAUUUAUCUUCUCUUCAUGUUGGUGUUCUUUAUAAUAUUAACACUGAUAUGUUUAGUAGUUUUUGCGUACUAUCACAGGAAACGCUACAUGUCAAGCCACGAAGUUCCGGAGAACACACCGAUCCGAAGACCGUGCCAAUAGAACUUUAUAAAAAUAGAACAUAAUAUAUGUACUCGUGGGUGAUAUUUUAAUAAUAUAAUAUUCAUUGUUAUAACUGCUAAUGAAAUGAAAAUGUACGAGAAAAUGCAAUAAAUAAAUUAUUUACAAA